ACCUAACUUCAUCCCCACCCUAUCGAGAUUUCUUCUUUUUCUUCCUUCCUUCUCUCUUUCUCUCUCUUCUUUCACACCCUAAAACCCUAACUAACCACAAUUUCUCACAGAAAUGGUGUUUCACCAUCGCAGAAAGCUCAUGCCAGAAAUCUGCGAGUCCCUCUGCCACGUGGAGUAGAAUUGUUCUUCAAACUGUGAUGAUUGCCUCAAAAUCUGCAUCACCAACCCCCAAUACUACUAUUAUUCCCAACCACCGCCACCGCCACUGCCACUGAUUCCUCCUCUCCCCUUAGACGAUAUAUCAGACCAUGGAAAAAGCCACGCGCUCUUGCCCUACUUGGUCCUUGCUCUCUCCGUUAUCGGAGUUGCUUUCUUCGUUGUUAUUUGCUGUGCAAUCUUCACGAGGAUCUUCAGAAGGAGGAGAAGAUCCUUAUCGCCACCGUUGAGUCUUCGAACACAGGAUAAUACGCGUGAUGAUUUCUUCAUUGAUGAGGAGCACGGUCCUGUGGUGGACCACCCGAUCUGGUUCUUGAGUGUUUUGAACUUCAACCCGAUAACAGUGUGUUUCUAGAGCUAAUUCUUAUAUUCCCGAAGG